UUGGAGCUUAUUGGUCGACAUACGACUCAAUCCUGGGGACAAGCCUCAUACAAAGAUUUCCUAGCUAUCUAAUCAUAAGUUUUCGUCACGAGGGGUAAAGCAAAAGGACACAUUACAAUUGUUAGGAAGAGAUGAGUGAAUAUCGUCAACAAUGGCUAAGGUGUCUUAAGGAAUAUCAAUCUUCCUUGAGAGAGCAUCGAUCAAUAAAAGAUGUAUUGCCAUGGUGAAGUUAAAUAAGGGAGGAGCCAAGCUUGAUACCUGAGGCGGCAACCGCUAAUGCAGAGGAUAAGUGCAUUUGGGCGUUGGCUCCAGUCAGUAGAUUUCCUUGACUGUCACGGGCUAGGGCUAUGCCUUGGAGGUUGAGACCUGGAAUGCCAUAUCACAGUUGAUCUUGAUGGCAUUCGGGGACCAAUGAGUCGAAGCUUGAGGUCUCUAAGAUGCGGUGGGCGAUUCAAGAAGUUGGAUCCAUGAAAGCUAUAGCAUCGAAGUUCAAAGCUCUCCAAGUAGGAAGGGCCAAGGGACAAGAAAAGAACGUGUUCCAAAGUUUCACAUCCCGACUAGGGUCGAGUAAGAAAAAAAAGAAAAAAAAAAGACUCAAAUUGAGGUUAUUUGGACAGUUUAUGGAAUUUUAUUUAAUUUAUAAUUAGUUUUAAUUUUCAUUAUAUAAAAAAAUAGUUUUAUAUAAAUAUAUAUUUUAAAAAUAUCAUAUAAAAUUUUUUUAUACUUUCGCUCAAAUAAUAUUUUAAAAAAUCAUAAAACAAAUCUCAUUUUGUCAAAACCAAAUUAAAAAUCCAAAGCUAAAAAUUGAUAUGAAAAAGUUGGAAAAUUAAAUCUAAUCAAAUUAUGAUGGUGAUUUGAAACAUUAAAAAACAAAUCCGACUAAAUCAAACUGAUAUCACCUCUAGUCCCUACCUAAAACAACUAGUAGAAAAGAUUUGAUAUUGGGUGAAGAGGGUGUUGACACUGUAUUUGGUACAAUGUUGAGAUUUCAAACACUUCCCCAAUCAACUUUGUUCCAUGCAAUUCGAAGGAGAGGCAGAAGUUGUAUCAUAGGAAGUGGCCAUCGUUAGUAGGACUCAUGCCAAUAGGGAUUUAAGUUGACAAAUACUCUGUUUGAGUCAAGAACAGCCUCGCCCAGGUGUUGUUGAAGUGAGUGACUACUGACUAGUAAUGGCUGAUUAAAGUGGAAGACGUCUUUCUCAUUUUAGGCGCAGGAGAAAAACUGAAUGCCGCACUCCAAUUAAUAAAAAGUGUCCAGUGAACAGAAAAAAUCUUUUACAUAUUUGGGUUCAAAUCUAAAAUAUCACUUCUCAAAAAUAAUUAUAUAAAUCAGUUAAAAUUUAAUAUAUUUUUUAUGUUACUCAUUUUAUAUUAAAAAUUUAUUAACACUCAAAUUAUAACUACUUUUUAAAUUUAAAUUUUGAAAAUUUGACUAAUUUUUUAUAAAUAAAACUAUAGAAUUAAAUUCUAAAUUUAUGGAAAAUAGAGUAUAUUUUAACUUUUAUUUAACUGCGAUGAAGUUUGCACAAGUACAUUGUACAUGCAUCCAUGGCGGUGUAAUUGGAAAUAAAAAAAAAAUCCCGUCUAUAAUUUAGAAUUGCUAAUAUUUUCCAAUAAUUAUAAAAUCUGGACAAUUUACAAGUUUGACGAAGGUGUCUAGUAUGGCUAAUUCCAGCUAAAGGAGUCAAUUACAUGCAUAUGGUCCUUGUUAUUUGCCAAUCGGAUCCAAGACCAUGCCAGAAAUGGUUGCUUUCUAUUUUAAUAGCAAUAAAUACAGUAAUUAUUCGAUAAUCUGUUUCAAAUAAAAAUUAAUAACUUCACAGAAUAGACAUUUUUCCAGGGAUCACCUUCAUAAAACAGAUGUGGGAACAAAAAAAAAAAAAGCCAAACGGAAACAGUUAACUGUAAUCUCAAAAUCAAAUCAACUCAUAAGAUGCUAAAAAAAAGGCACAAAAAAUAAGCAGAAAACAGGAUAAAAUCCUUCAAAAAAUUAAAGAAAAACCUCCAAAUCAAGAUGACUGACAAAGAUCUCUACAUGGAAAACGAAAAGAAAACAAGAUGAUGGAAGGCAAAAGAAUCAGCCUCUGAUGUGCUUGACUUUGUACCAACCUUUCUUGCAUGAUUCUCCCACGAUCUUCACACCCUUCUUGAAGAAAACCUUGAGCUCCUUGGCUCUCUCCUUUAUUUGCUGCUCGAACCCAGCCAUGAAAGCGAUACCGAGAAGAAGACUAAUCGAACAAAAUGUAAAAAAAGAAGGUUAGUAUAUUUCAGAGUUUGGUUGCUGCGUUGGUGGAGAGUGGUGGAAGGGAAACCCUGAGCAGCUUUUAAGCAGGGGUGGAAGGGGUUAGGCCUCGUGGGAUCCAACGCAUCAUGAGACACGUGGC
rnacentral:lncRNA from 1 species